GAGGAUUCAAUCAAUGACCCAUACAAUAAAUUAGAAUGACAGAGAAGAUCCAAAGGUGCUGCGAGGUUUGUGGCAAUCUAUCCUUUGACGAUGGCGGUGAUGGGUUCUUCUAUUGCACUCGUUGCGGCUCUCAAGCAGUUGACAUCAUGGACACGGGUGUUGAUGAUGAUGACCUAUUCAACGUAGAUGGGGGUAUGUACUCUACUAGUCAGCGCCGUCAAUAUUGCCAGGUCAUUCAACCUGUACCCAUAUCUCAGGUACAACUCUCUCAGCAUUUAGAGACGUUGAAAACCUUUGAUGACUACGACGAGCGUAAUGGAGAUGAUGGAGUUGGUGCAGUGCCUAGUGAUUUUGGAUCAUCUCAAAUUUCUCUGACUUACACAGACUAUUAUUCAGAGAUCCGAUUGAGGUAUGUUAUGGGGUUACAA
rnacentral:misc_RNA from 1 species